UACGUAGGGUGCAAGCGUUGUCCGGAAUUAUUGGGCGUAAAGAGCUCGUAGGCGGUUUGUCGCGUCGGCUGUGAAAACUCGGGGCUCAACCCCGAGCCUGCAGUCGAUACGGGCAAACUUGAGUGUGGUAGGGGAGACUGGAAUUCCUGGUGUAGCGGUGAGAUGCGCAGAUAUCAGGAGGAACACCGGCGGCGAAGGCGGGUCUCUGGGCCAUAACUGACGCUGAGGAGCGAAAGCGUGGGGAGCGAACAGG
rnacentral:rRNA from 1 species